CGUAAACCUGGACUUCGAGACACAAACUUCCAGGUGCUGAAGCUGAAGCUGGAAACCUUAUUGGUGGUACUGGGUGGUGGGCCUGUGUCCCUGUGCGUGGCCGAUUGCAUGUUGGCAGACUUGGUGGACAAGGUCGGGGACAUCAAGAAUGGCCAGGGCGCCACAUCUGCCCUGACGGCCUUAGCUGAGGCCACCUCCCUAGACCAUGUUGGCCAGGAGGUUCUCCAGCUUUGUUUUGCCCAGAAGAAUCCGAAA